CGCUGUGUGACAAACCUCGCACCGGCCAUUAAAAAAAAGAAAAACCACACGCCACACUGUUCGCCUCUCCCUGUCUUAUCUCCUUCCUCUAGAGAGGUCUGGCCACUUUUAUUCCCCAACGCAAGCUUGUACUGCUCCGGCGAUGUCUUCCCUUCGUAGGCUCACCUCUUUGCGCUGCUUCUUAUCCAUCCCCGUGCCCCUAUUGCUUCUACCGGCUGCUGCAAGGAAUGGCCGGGGGAUGAAGGUGCUGCGCGAAUCGACCUGGGACGCUGCUGCCGCAUAACGGCGAGCUCAACGAGCCCGACGAUGACGGCAAGCAGCGACCUGGAAGGGGAGGAGGGGCACGCCUGGGCCGCCGCGCUUCCUCGACCGCUGCGACGCCCUCCAUGAUGGGCGCCCCAAGAUUCUUCGGCCGCAGGAGGCGUCUGACGGCAGCGGCACGUCUCCGGUCAAAUCCAAUGAAAAACAGCCCUCCUGUCCGGCCAAGCGACCAAGCCCCAAUAGCAAAACCCAAUGGUCGUCGCGCAGCAGAUGCCGUCCAACCAAGUUUGUGUUUCCACAUUGCUUCUUAUGGCAUUGAAAGCGUCUUCAAAGGCUUCCUCUUCCUCAUACUUGUACAUGCAAGCACUGAAAUCAGCAAGUACAUUUGGUCCAUCCUCGUCUUUUUUCUUAUGAGGAACGUGUUGAACAACCAUUUGAAUGAUUCAAAUGUCUCAUCAUAUAAAAGUGCAGCACCAAAAAUGACCAUUUCUCUGAAAUGGUUGAAACCAACAAACACACCAAAGGGUAUGUACUCUUUGUUUGUCCCAAAUGUUGUAUCGAAGUUAACAACAUCACCGAAAUGAGCAUAGUCAAUUAUCAUCCUUGCAUCAGCCCAAAAGAUAUUUGCUAUAUUUUCAUCGCAAUCUAGUUGCAUGUCAUAUUCAAAUGCAGGAUUCUCAUUCUUUUUAUCUCUAAAAUACUUGAGCAUACUUCCAGCUUCACCAUACAUCAAGUCCCUUUGUCGCCUGGUUCGCAAGUGGUUCUUGCGAUCACGACAUGUGUAGCCAAGGUUCAGUGGACCACCAACUUGUCGACUUGCUAACUCAUGGGAUUUUCUAGGUACAAUUCCUGAAUCAUCUGCUGUUUCAAUUUCAAAUGCUUGCAAGGCUGAAAUCUUCCUCUGUGAUGGCAUCAAGUGGCUUGUCCCAGGAGAAUCUUUAUCGCCUACGGAUCAGCUUGCCUUGGUUUCACUCUGAUUAUGAAGGACGAUCAGAAGAAAGAUAGGGCAAAAGGGAGUUGAUCUGCGCCGGGGUUCGGCUCCUUAGCUUGCCUUGGUUACCCUCGGAACAUGGAGGACAAUCAGAAGAAAGAUAGGGCAAAAGGGAGUUGAUUUGUGCCACGUACAGAUCACAGAUCAACGUACCUUUGUCAUAUUAUUUUACAAGGACGAACAGGAGGAAUGAGAAAGAUGAGCGGGACAAAGGCAAAGAGAUCCCUGUUUGGCGCCAAGGAGGUUAUCAGGGUGUGUUUUGUUUGGCGCCAGGUUCUGUUUGGCGGCAAUCCUGCAGCCAUACGAGAUUUUCUACCACAUAAUUAGCUGUUUGUUUCCAUUUAUUAACAGAAUCGAGUGGGGAUAAUGAGAGCCGUCAGAUUUAAAUGGAUGGCUGAUGUGGGUUGGUACAGUACCCGUGCAGUAAUAACGUGACUGCAGAGGAGCCGAAGAGCACUCUCCGUCCGUCAUCCCAGGUUCCACACGAUUUUUCUGCCAUAUCGUGUGCCUGACAUGACCUCACCUGAGGGAGUAACAAUUAAACUUGGAUUAUUUAUGGGGCUGCUAUGCGUCGGCCGACGGAUCGCGAGCAGUCGGAUCCGAUGGUCGACGCUUCGCUGCAGAUUCUCACCCGCACCGCCCCGCCAUCGACUUCCGUCAUUGCAACCUCCAAUCUACUUGGCCCAGGAGGCCCGGCGGCCCUGUGGUUGCCAGUGGCGAGCGAAGGUCGUCUUCGUCGUCACCUGGUAGCAACAGGGGGCGGGCGAUGUUGAUAGAGGAGAG